UACGAAGGGGGCUAGCGUUGCUCGGAAUCACUGGGCGUAAAGCGCACGUAGGCGGAUUCUUAAGUCGGUGGUGAAAUCCUGGAGCUCAACUCCAGAACUGCCUUCGAUACUGAGAGUCUCGAGUCCGGGAGAGGUGAGUGGAACUGCGAGUGUAGAGGUGAAAUUCGUAGAUAUUCGCAAGAACACCAGUGGCGAAGGCGGCUCACUGGCCCGGUACUGACGCUGAGGUGCGAAAGCUAGGGGAGCAAACGGG
rnacentral:rRNA from 1 species